rnacentral:rRNA from 1 species
GACGAACGCUGGCGGCGUGCUUAACACAUGCAAGUCGAGCGGUAAGGCCCUUUCGGGGGUACACGAGCGGCGAACGGGUGAGUAACACGUGGGUGACCUGCCCUCAGCUCUGGGAUAAGCCUGGGAAACCGGGUCUAAUACUGGAUAUGACUCCAUGACGCAUGUUGUGGGGUGGAAAGCCUUGUGCGGCUGAGGAUGGGCCCGCGGCCUAUCAGCUUGUUGGUGGGGGAUGGCCUACCAAGGCGACGACGGGUAGCCGGCCUGAGGGGGCGACCGGCCACACUGGGACUGAGACACGGCCCAGACUCCUACGGGAGGCAGCAGUGGGGAAUCUUGCGCAAUGGGCGAAAGCCUGACGCAGCGACGCCGCGUGAGGGAUGACGGCCUGG